rnacentral:rRNA from 1 species
CUACGGGGGGCUCCAGGGAAUAUUGGUCAAUGGACGCAAGUCUGAACCAGCCAUGCCGCGUGCAGGAUGACGGCCCUCUGGGUUGUAAACUGCUUUUAUAUGGGAAGAAACCCCGGGAUGCGUUCCGGGCUGACGGUACCAUACGAAUAAGGAUCGGCUAACUUCGUGCCAGCAGCCGCGGUAAGACGAAGGAUCCAAGCGUUGUCCGGAUUUACUGGGUUUAAAGGGUGCGUAGGCGGAUGCUUAAGCCAGUGGUGAAAUCUCUCAGCUCAACUGAGAAACUGCCAUUGGAACUGGGCAUCUUGAAUUCGAUUGAGGUAGAUGGAAUAUAACAUGUAGCGGUGAAAUGCUUAGAUAUGUGAUGGAACACCGAUUGCGAAGGCAGUCUACUAAGUCGAUAUUGACGCUGAGGCACGAAAGCGUGGGUAGCGAACAGGAUUAGAUACCCGAGUAGUC